AGCCAGAGUGGUGUAGUGGUUAGAAUGCUGCCCUAGGACCAGGGACAGACCAGGGUUCAAAUCCCUCACUCGGCCA